rnacentral:lncRNA from 1 species
GAUAUAAUGACAUUUAUUCCAUAAAUAUUAAUUUCAGGCCGGAGAUCUCAAGCACUACAUUAACUAAUAAAUAACAAAGUUUAUUUCAAAUGAGUAUACUUGCAAUGAACUUUGGAGAAGGAAUAUUUCAUAUACUACAUCAAAUAAUAAAACCAAUUGUUCCAAGGUGCCUGCCAGCCAUUAACCUUACAAAACCAUAUAUAUUUAUAUUAUAUCAUAAACAAUAUAAUAGUCCAAAACUCAGCGUCAUUAGCUUCCGAUAAAUCAAUUUGAUCUAGUUCACCAUUUUCAAUCCCAUCUCAAGAAUUUUCCUACAAAUUUAAAAUCGAAUUAAAAGUUAGAUAGAAACCAAUAUUAUACAAGUGCAAAUUCAAAUGAGCAUAUUUUCACCAAUCAAAAGCACAACACUAUUAAUAGUGAAAAAGUAGUACUACAGGGGCAGGAGACAAUGGCUGAGAGGACAAAUAGAAAGCAAUAGCCAUUUGACAUUGAGAGUAAUUUCUUAUGUGUUUUAGUGAGUACAUAUAGAACAGAUUACACCACCACAAGCGAAUAACUUUAUACAAUUCUAUUUAAGUUGUCCUUGUUAUUUAGGAGGACUACAAACUUAACAGUGACAUUCUGAUAAAAUAUGUAAUAACAUACUAUCUAACUUAGCACACUUCUAAUUGGGAAAUCCCAAGCUCAUUGCAGUCCACUUAUCUUCACCAAUCAGAUGCACAAUACACACUCCCCAAUAGCAAGGUGAGAAGUUCUUGGAGGGAAGGAUGCCGGGGGUCUAUUUGGAAACAGCCUCUCUACUCAAGGGUAGGGGUAAGGUCCGUGUACACACUACCCUCCCCAGACCCCACUACGUGGGAUUAUACUGGGUUGUUGUUGUUUAUUUGUUAGUUAAUCAAGCCAUGCAUAAGAAUUAUCAAUUUUUACACUAUAAAAGCCUUAAUCCAUCUACUUCUUCCCCAAAUCAACCCCUCUUCUUAACAUUUCUUCCAAACCUUGACUUAUAUGGUCAAGUUAUAGGAGAAUUGCACCAUGUAGAAUAGAAAAUCUUUCUCAGUAACCUACGCGACUUGCUAAAUCGAUGCUUUCUUGUUCCUCCCUACGUUCUAUCCGAAUCCUAUCAUUCUGACUAAUCUGAAUUCUUAUCACGUAGACCUAUUAAAGGUGGAUUGUUAUUGUUGUUGUUCAACAGUAGUAUAUGUUCCACAAUUCCAUGUGCAAGAAGCUUAAAAGAUAAACAAUUGUAUGCCUGGAUAGAAAAAUUACCAGAUAUUGCUUAAGUAACCUUGUAAAGUGCAUUUCUCUACUUUGUGUCCUCAACUACAUUUUGCCACUGUGUGUCUCUUUUCAUGUGGUUAUGGACCAACAACCUUAAUACCAAGAGAAAGUCCAAAUCACAUCAAAAUCAACUGGCUAGAUUGGCGUCUAGUUAGAUUGAUAAUAAAUUAUAUACUAGUAGUUAUUGUAAUAAAGUUAUAGCCAUUAUUUAUUAUUGUACCAAUAUUUACACGUGCAAUAGAGAUAAUUUGCAAGCAUGAACUAAGUAGAAUUUGCAAUAGGCAGUGAAUCUGCAAAUUUCUAUUUUUUUCCUGUAUCAAUAGAUGAGCAAAAUGUAGGUAAAAAAUAAAAUAUCAACAUAAUGAACCUAACCAUAGAAUUUAUAUUAUAUAAGUAAUAUUCUCAAGUAUGGAGAAACAAAAGGAACCUAACCAUAUAGUUAGAUUGCUAUCAUAACGUUAUUAGUGAGAUGAAAGAUUUUAAAUGUUGCACUAAGAAAAUAACAAUUUGAUUCAAAAAGUAUAAUAUUAACACUGAUCUUUAUAACAGUGGAGGGCAAUUCACUAUUUUGAUAGAUACAGUGUGUAAGUUUCAUGGUGGCAUUUUACUACGAAAAAUAAUGUAGAUGAUAACAGCUAGCCAGCUACAAGGUAAUAUCACAAAACCACAAAAUAAAUAGUUAUCUGACUGUGACCAUGACAAAACAUGCACUCGCUGAUAAAUCAAUGCACACCUGAUUUUUCCCAGAAUGAUAACAUAUUCAUACCUAUCAAAAUAAAAUUAGUAUAUUCAUGCUAAUCCAUUAUUAAACCUUUUAGUAGUGAGAAAAUAUAUAUCCAAAGAAAAAAAAAGGAUAAAACACAAACUAAUCACGACACAUUUUUUAAAGGAAAGAAGCUUUGAGCUGAAACCAUAGAAAAGAGUAGGAUAACAUUAUUCUCAGUAAUAAUUAACAUAAAUUCAAUAAAGAAAAAAAUUGAGAGGAGCAUCUACUUCAUCAAAAGGAAAGCAAUCAAGAUUGCAUAUGCCAUGGAGCUUUUAGUAGCAGAUAUCAUAUUUAGUUAAGCAAUUAAGCUAAAGAAGCCUCAUGAGAUUAUGAACGGAACAUUAUGGAGAUAUUUUUUUUGGCUAUUGUGGAAGCCACAAAUGCAUAUCCUAGGUUUAUUACUCUUUAAAAAAAUUAUUACCACCAUAUCCCAUCCCCCUUAAAUCUACGAUCAUCAAGUAAUGCACACAAGGAAAUUAAAGUUUCUUUUGUCCAAAAUCAAACUCUCACCUAUCUCUUCUAGAGAAGAAUUUUCAUUGUCGUUGAUGGUUAGAUCUACUUGUCUCGCCCCUGCAUAAACUGUUGAAAAUUGAAUUCACUUCAGUAUUAAGAUUUGGGUUGAUUUAUAAGGCAUAGAAGAACUUGAACGCAAACUAUUUUCUUUCAUAAUAGGACAAAAUAUUAUGAUUGAAACCUGUAAAUAUUAAGGGAAAGUAAGCACGAGAAGUCCUUAAACAAUCCUUUAAAGUGCAAUAAGGAUUUUUUUAUUUCAUAACUUUAAAUCCAUCAAGAUUUAGAGUGCAACACCAAAAAUCUAUACCAAAAUUGUAUUUAAUUCUUAGCAAAGAAAUUAAACACACAAAAAGUAAUAGCAAAAAAUGGAUUUAAUCGAAGUGAAUUUGACAAGAUCAGCACAUAC